GGUAUGUACAAGGCUGCGACGCUGUCCAAUCAAAUGCUCAUCCGUAGAAGUUUUUCCUCACAUCAGUAACCUUUCCGAGAAAUCAGAUGCUGUGUAGGCUAUCGUUAUCUCAGUUCCUUUUCAGCUGAUGAGAGAUGCCAAGGAGCAAGUCAGUCUAAGUAAGUUUUCGUCAAUAAAAGUUCAAUGCAGUUUACUUAAAAACUUACAGUAUUUUCUGGGACUGACAGAGCUGGAGAAUGUGAAGAGUGUGAGCAUCAGCUGGUGAAAGAGCAUUGUGUGUCCAAAUGCUGCAUCUGCCAGCAAUCUCACUAAAUCUGUAUAAACUGACACUGCAGAUUAGAUCUUAAACUGGAUAAUUCUGCACGUUGUGCCAUCCCUCCUUGUGUGUUGGUUAUCCACUUCCGAUUUAACGUCAGACUUUCAGAUUUUCAAUAAACCAGAUUUUGAUAGUUAGGCCCCAAUCCUAAUUGUCACAUUCAUACAAUAACAAACACAGUCUCUUCUCUGAGCAUGAAUGCCUGAGUCACAAUUGCUGUCAGUUUGUCUAUGGUGUCCAUAACCAAAUGGGAUUUGUCCUACUUCUGUACAAUAACUAUGAUAUUCUAGAAUUCAUGAGUCUUUACAAACUCCCAGUUCUCAGCAUUUACAAUGGCACCAUUUUCCCCCCCACUCAGAUGGAAACCACAUCACAAAACCCACCCUGUUUCUGUAAAAUACCUAAAUACCCUGUCACAUUUUUCAAUUUGACAUUGUAAUAAUAGAAAUCCAGAAUGAAAUUGAACUUCCCAAACUUGCUGCCAUUCUGUGGGAGGCUGAAUGAGACUACUGGAAGGUUGGAUUACUUACUGAAUGCUCUGCUCUUGUGCUGCAGAGAUAACAUUGACUGUGUUUCUCUCACUACACUGACAGACACAUAAAUACAUUCAAAUAAUUAAGUAAAUUUGUCCAGAAAACAGCAUUGAGGUUAGCCAAACUGUACAUGAAUAGAAUUUCAGUCAAACUGAUAUAUGGUGGAGCAUUUGGGGUUUGAAAAUUAAAUUGCAUUAUGUAACCUUGCAAUGAAAAAAAAAAUUGGAAUAAUUUGUU